rnacentral:lncRNA from 1 species
GUUCUUGUGACGCACGUCGCUGGUCGCCUUGUGACAGGGUGGCACGAACGUUCCAGAAGGCCCGUUUAUCCUCUUGCCGACUUUGGUUGGAUUUUCCUGCUUGUAGCCUUUACGUAAUCAUUACACUCGGGAGGAAGAUAAUAAUGAGAGGUACAGAAUUCAGACCACUCCAUACACCUGUGAAAGACAAGGCAGUUGAAGAUGUUGGCAAAAGAAUGGUUGAAUUUAUGGGCAAUGAAAUGGAAGCUGGUUAGGGAAGAAGUGAUGACAAUCAGAUGAAGAUUAAGGACAUCAAGGUAGCCCCACGACAGUGCAACUCAACCCUCGAUGAAAGAGCACUUCCAGAACUGCUUCAGAAAGUGGCAAGAACAAUGAGAUAAGUAUGUUCAAAAUGCACAGGAGUGAAAAUUUGAAGGGGAUUAAUGACAAUGUGUUGUUUAGUGUAGUAAGUUUUUUUUUUUUAAUUUCAACUUCUUUUUUUUAUUACAUCAGGUAUACAUAGGAAAUGAAGACAAUACAUAGGAAAUGAAGACAGGUAUUCAGACAAAUACUUGGAUAAUGGGUACCAAAUGCAGUUAGAAAGGUGGUAUGUCAUUAGAAUGGUUGUUAUCAAAAAGAAAAUAAAAAGAGAAAUUAUCAAAUCAAAUGCUGGCAAAGAUGUGGGAAAAGGGAAUUCUUCUACACUGUUGGUAGAUAUGUUAACUAAUACAGUCUUUGAAAACAUUAUAGAGGUUCCUCGAAAAGCUAAAAAUAUAGAGCUAUGAUUUGAUCCAAGAAUCCUACGACUGGAUGUAUCUCCAAAGGAAUGAACUCAGUAUGUCAAUGAGACAUUUGUACUCCCGUUUUUGAAGUCAACCUAGGUGUCCAUCGAGCGAUGAAUGUAUUUUACCCUGAUUAAGAAAAAUGCAUCAGUAAAUACAGAUCAGUUAAAUAGUAUGGAAAGUUUAGAAAUAAACCCUUACAUUUACGAUCCAGGUUGUAUUUUUGUUUCCCUUCCCCAACAAAGAUGACAAUUGAGGAAAAGAAUGGUCUUCUCAAUAAAUGGUACUGAGACAACUGGAUUUCUACAUCAAAAGAAUAAAUCUGAAUUCCUCCUUCAUACUAUACACAAAAUUAAAAUUGGA